UAGAAAGUUCAAGACCAGACUUACCUUGU
rnacentral:piRNA from 1 species